ACAUCGCACACCUAUAACAGACCAUACAGUUGUACCAUACCCUACCAUACCGACGCACUAAACUCUGACACAACUCAACACCCUGAUCUCCGGCAGCUGAUCAUUGCAAAAUACUUCUUCAAAAGCGAGCGGUUAUACAGCAUCCUGAAACAGGGAACCUAGAACCAGCCGAUUCUAGAAUCAGCAAAAGGCGGCGACGAAGCUCCCGAGAGCCCGGGUGGACGACGUGAAAAUCUCUCGCUCGACGGCGAGAACUCGCCUGUGGAAUUCUCGACGGCUCCUACUAAACACUGUCCGAGAUGACUGCCCGGGAUGACUGCUUCAGAUGACUGCCUGAGAUAACUGCUCGAGAUGACUGCCCGAGAUG